UACGAAGGGGGCUAGCGUUGCUCGGAAUUACUGGGCGUAAAGCGCACGUAGGCGGUCUUUUAAGUCGGUGGUGAAAUCCUGGAGCUCAACUCCAGAACUGCCUUCGAUACUGGAAGACUUGAGUCCGGGAGAGGUGAGUGGAACUGCGAGUGUAGAGGUGAAAUUCGUAGAUAUUCGCAAGAACACCAGUGGCGAAGGCGGCCCGCUGGGCAGUGGCUGACGCUGAGGCGCGACAGCGUGGGGAGCAAACAGG
rnacentral:rRNA from 1 species